rnacentral:rRNA from 1 species
CCUACGGGAGGCUGCAGUAGGGAAUCUUCCACAAUGGGCGCAAGCCUGAUGGAGCAACACCGCGUGAGUGAAGAAGGGUUUCGGCUCGUAAAGCUCUGUUGUUGGAGAAGAACGUGCGUGAGAGUAACUGUUCACGCAGUGACGGUAUCUAACCAGAAAGUCACGGCUAACUACGUGCCAGCAGCCGCGGUAAUACGUAGGUGGCAAGCGUUAUCCGGAGUUAUUGGGCGUAAAGCGAGCGCAGGCGGUUGCUUAGGUCUGAUGUGAAAGCCUUCGGCUUAACCGGAGAAGUGCAUCGGAAACCGGGCAACUUGAGUGCAGAAGAGGACAGUGGAACUCCAUGUGUAGCGGUGGAAUGCGUAGAUAUAUGGAAGAACACCAGUGGCGAAGGCGGCUGUCUGGUCUGCAACUGACGCUGAGGCUCGAAAGCAUGGGUAGCGAACAGGAUUAGAUACCCUUGUAGUC